ensembl:lncRNA
GACAGACUACCACCUGCUGAAAAAAUCCUAUCUUAUGCACAUGUUUAUGGACACCUGGACUCGGGAGACAAGCCUGAUUGAUGGCUGAGAGCUCUGAGGAAAAAGCUGCCCUACCCACAGACACGCCUCUGGAUCCAUUUAUCACAAUCACUCACAGAAAGAUGGAGGCAUCGGCAAAAAAAAAAAAAGUGAGAUGGUGCUCUACGGACAAAGCUGCGACCGGUCGGCAGGCGUGCAUCACGGAGGGAGACUGGGAGAUAAUUGGACAGUUGGUGGGAGAGAACACUCCACCGGAGAGACAGUUUGGACAGGGAACACGGAUGGACAGAUGGAUGGAGAGGAAAAAUAGCAGAAGAAGAGUAUCAGAAGUGCAGGAAGACUGCCCCGUCACUCCUAGGAGUCUCUGUUAUUUCAGUUUUAUAGGAUGA